rnacentral:lncRNA from 1 species
CAGCUUGAAUUUGGAACUCAGAAAAUGAGACGCACUUCGUUAGAGGCCACCAGUUCGAUACAAGAAACUCGCUGCUCUGUAAAUCCCUGAUAAAGACAGAAAUAGCAGUGGUGUGUACCCAACAGGAUGCAUUUGCGGUAGCCUUCCAACAUCCCCUAUCCCUCCCUCCCUGUGAGGCUGCUGCUGGCUUUUGGCGGGGCCUGGGUGCCAGAAGAGGGAGCACGGAACACAGCAGAGCCCCAGCCUGAAUGUCCCUGCUGCUGCUUCAGUUCUCAUAAAGGAUUGGAAAGUUUAAGGAAGAAGCUUGAUUGCACUUCCCUGGAAAAUGCAUUGUAAGUGAUGGAAGAGAAAAAAAAGCAAAACCUGAGCUGUGGGACAAUCAGAUCAGGCCAAGAACUUUCUCCACCCCUGGAGCCGUUGGAUGAAAAGUUGAUGGAGAAUCCUGUGAUUCAUGGCAGUAAGGAUACAUUGGAGAAGAUAACAAGCAAGAAGGAAUGAGGCUCCUUCAUGUCCUGAAUCCUUCUCAGGAAGGGACCAUGUAAUAAUGUACAGAACAAGUUAAUUGAGGAAGCUAUGGAAGUACGGUGAUCAGAAAAUGUGCAAUGGUCUCUGAUGUACAGAGAUACUGUCUACAAGCACUAAUGUCUCAGCUGGUUUUCCUCCAUCAUCUUGUCUGCUAUUUAUUUUUGAUCCUAAUGGUUUAAUCAGUGCUACGUGGACUGAAUACUUCAUAUACCUGGAGUUCACGGAGGGCUACAGCAGCAGGUUGCAAGAGGCUCAUGGGCUUCAGCAGCAGUGCAGAUGGAGACUGCCAUGCCCUCGCUUUUUACCGAGUGGUUCAUUCACAGUACACCUGGGUUUGUAACCCAGCAAGCCCCAGAAAUUGUGUAAAUGCAUCUUCUGUGCCUGGCCUGAGUAUCUGGUGGGUUCCUUACUGUCCAGCAAACACCUACAGACUUGGCUGCUGUUUGGGAAAAGGGAAAGGAUCAAGGCAAUUCCUGGGACACUGCAGGGACUAAGCCCCAGAGAUGACAGUGGAUCCCUGCUCCCAAGCCUGGUGAGAGAACUGAGCCUCUGGAGCUUUUCUUUCUAACUUCUCUUUCUUCCUUAGAGAGUCUUUGAAUUCUAGUUUAUUCUUCACUUAAUAUGAAGGGAUUUACGUUGAUCACUCUUGUUAAUAGCUGUUAAUGGGAAUUUUAUUCUUAAAUCUCCUGUGUUUGGAAGUAUCAUUUUGUUUUCAGAGCAAAUUUAAAUUUGUAAGUUUUCAUGAGAAGAAAAAGUUACCAGACCACCCUCUGCACUUCCUAGCUGAUGUUGUACAGCCUUCUCUGAUUAGCUUUUAGAAACUAUUUUUAGCUUAAAUAUGUAGUAUAGAGCCCUAGACACAAAGCUUGAUGGUGCUUAUCACUUCAAAUACACUAUCAACAAUCUCCUCCCAAAAGGAACAGAUCGUAGGUGUGUAAGGGACUCCCUUUUUUCCUCCUGCAGAGUCUUCACUUUUGAUAUCAAAAAGCUUGGCUGCAGUGAGUCCCCCAGCUGCUUCAGCCUGACUCCAGAGAUGGCUGAGGCUGCAGGUGAGCUCCCUGCAAAAACUGGGGCAACCCCAAGUUCAAAGUGGAGCAGCUGGAGCUGGAUGGGAUGCAUUACACAGACACUUCUUUCUCCUUUUUUUUUUUUAAUUCCCUUUGUUAUAUUAUAUUAUUAUAUUUCUCUUUUACUUCUCAUUUUUUUCUGACCCAAUUAAUAUCUCUUCACUUGAAAUGGUUUGUACAGUCGUUAGGAUUUGGGGAAAGAUAGCAGCUGUAAUGCUAUAAAAGCUGGGAGGCCUUAUCCUGUAGCCCUCUGUGAGUGCCUGUCUUUGUGCUCUCAGAGGCCUUUGUACAUGGUAACCUUACUUGGUGGAGUUUAUCUAAGGAAUUUAGGUUGUCAUGCAGAUCUUAGUUUAUGGGGGUGGUUGGGUGGAUUUGGGAUGCUUAAGUGAAAUUGAGUAUAUAUGUAUGUGGGUAAAAAUAAACAUAGAAUAAAAGAAUAUGUAAAGUAACUA